UACGUAGGGAGCAAGCGUUGUCCGGAAUCAUUGGGCGUAAAGCGCGCGUAGGUGGCUUCAUAAGUCCGUUGUGAAAGUCAAAGGCUCAACCUUUGAAAGCCGAUGGAUACUGUGGAGCUAGAGUACGGAAGAGGCGAGUGGAAUUCCUGGUGUAGCGGUGGAAUGCGCAGAUAUCAGGAGGAACACCAAUAGCGAAGGCAGCUCGCUGGGACGUUACUGACACUGAGGCGCGAAAGCGUGGGGAGCGAGCAGG
rnacentral:rRNA from 1 species